GGGUUGUGAGGUUAAGCGACUAAGCGUACACGGUGGAUGCCCUGGCAGUCAGAGGCGAUGAAGGACGUGCUAAUCUGCGAUAAGCGCCGGUAAGGUGAUAUGAACCGUUAUAACCGGCGAUUUCCGAAUGGGGAAACCCAGUGUGACUCGUCACACUAUCAUUAACUGAAUCCAUAGGUUAAUGAGGCGAACCGGGGGAACUGAAACAUCUAAGUACCCCGAGGAAAAGAAAUCAACCGAGAUUCCCCCAGUAGCGGCGAGCGAACGGGGAGGAGCCCAGAGCCUGAAUCAGCAUGUGUGUUAGUGGAAGCGUCUGGAAAGGCGCGCGAUACAGGGUGACAGCCCCGUACACAAAAGCGCAUGUGCUGUGAGCUCGAUGAGUAGGGCGGGACACGUGGUAUCCUGUCUGAAUAUGGGGGGACCAUCCUCCAAGGCUAAAUACUCCUGACUGACCGAUAGUGAACCAGUACCGUGAGGGAAAGGCGAAAAGAACCCCGGCGAGGGGAGUGAAAAAGAACCUGAAACCGUGUACGUACAAGCAGUGGGAGCACCCUUUGGGGUGUGACUGCGUACCUUUUGUAUAAUGGGUCAGCGACUUAUAUUCUGUAGCAAGGUUAACCGAAUAGGGGAGCCGGAGGGAAACCGAGUCUUAAUUGGGCGUUAAGUUGCAGGGUAUAGACCCGAAACCCGGUGAUCUAGCCAUGGGCAGGUUGAAGGUUGGGUAACACUAACUGGAGGACCGAACCGACUAAUGUUGAAAAAUUAGCGGAUGACCUGUGGCUGGGGGUGAAAGGCCAAUCAAACCGGGAGAUAGCUGGUUCUCCCCGAAAGCUAUUUAGGUAGCGCCU
rnacentral:rRNA from 1 species